rnacentral:rRNA from 1 species
GUAGGUGGCAAGCGUUGUCCGGAAUUAUUGGGCGUAAAGCGCGCGCAGGCGGUUCUUUAAGUCUGAUGUGAAAGCCCACGGCUCAACCGUGGGAGGGUCAUUGGAAACUGGAGAACUUGAGUACAGAAGAGGAAAGCGGAAUUCCACGUGUAGCGGUGAAAUGCGUAGAGAUGUGGAGGAACACCAGUGGCGAAGGCGGCUUUCUGGUCUGUAACUGACGCUGAGGCGCGAAAGCGUGGGGAGCAAACAGGGAUUAGAUACCCUGGUAGUCCACGCCGUAAACGAUGAGUGCUAAGUGUUAGGGGGUUUCCGCCCCCUUAGUGCUGCAGCUAACGCAUUAAGCACUCCGCCUGGGGAGUACGGCCGCAAGGCUG